CAUUCUGCAUCUUGAAGCCAAAAGGCUUCGAAGGUAAAGCACUUUUUCCUCUUGACUGGCAUUGCAUUAGUGGUUAAUAAAAUCGGGCUGUGGUCGGAACCUAUGGCUGGAAGGGCAAGAACCUCUGCCUCUGCAUAUUUUAAUCGCCAUUCGAUUGUACAUAAUGCACGAUCGAGUCUUUCCUUGACCAUUUCCUCGCCAUUUCUGUUAUUAAUCCAGGUGUAGGCACAUCCUUUUGUCUCUAGGUCCAGCAAUGCACAGUCAUAAAGAAAUUCCCGAAAGGCAUGCAUUCGGUAAGGUUGAACUGGUCUCUUGCCUACCUUCUCCCAUGGAUGUAAAAUAUCAUUAAAGUCCCCUAUGCAAACCCAAGGUAAAGUGUGCAAGGUACCGAGACGCCUUAAAUCUGCCCAAAACAGUUGUCGGUGUUGAAAGACCGACGGCGCAUGUAAACAGGUAAGACCCAUAG
rnacentral:lncRNA from 1 species